rnacentral:rRNA from 1 species
UACAGGGGGGGCAAGCGUUGUCCGGAAUUACUGGGCGUAAAGAGUGUGUAGGCGGUGCUCCAAGUCUGGUGUGAAAUCUCCCGGCUUAACUGGGAGGGUGCAUUAGAAACUGGAAUGCUAGAGGAUGGGAGAGGUAAGCGGAAUUCCUGGUGUAGCGGUGAAAUGCGUAGAUAUCAGGAGGAACACCUGUGGUGUGAGACAGCUU